rnacentral:rRNA from 1 species
UACGAAGGGUGCGAGCGUUGUUCGGAAUUACUGGGCGUAAAGCGCGUGUAGGCGGCUUUGCAAGUCGGGUGUGAAAGCCCUCAGCUUAACUGAGGAAGUGCGCCCGAAACUGCAUGGCUUGAGUACCGGAGAGGAUGGCGGAAUUCCCGAAGUAGAGGUGAAAUUCGUAGAUAUCGGGAGGAACACCGGUGGCGAAGGCGGCCAUCUGGAUGGAUACUGACGCUGAGACGCGAAAGCGUGGGUAGCAAACAGG